GACGAACGCUGGCGGCGUGCUUAACACAUGCAAGUCGAACGGAAAGGCCCUGCUUUUGUGGGGUGCUCGAGUGGCGAACGGGUGAGUAACACGUGAGUAACCUGCCCUUGACUUUGGGAUAACUUCAGGAAACUGGGGCUAAUACCGGAUAGGAGCUCAUGCUGCAUGGUGGGGGUUGGAAAGUUUCGGCGGUUGGGGAUGGACUCGCGGCUUAUCAGCUUGUUGGUGGGGUAGUGGCUUACCAAGGCUUUGACGGGUAGCCGGCCUGAGAGGGUGACCGGCCACAUUAGGACUGAGAUACGGCCCAGACUCGUACGGGAGGCAGCAGUGGGGAAUAUUGCACAAUGGGCGGGAGCCUGAUGCAGCAACGCCGCGUGCGGGAUGACGGCCUUCGGGUUGUAAACCGCAUUCGCCUGUGACGAAGCGUGAGUGACGGUAAUGGGUAAAGAAGCACCGGCUAACUACGUG
rnacentral:rRNA from 1 species